GUGGCAGCUGGGCCUCACCCCGGCAGGGCUGUGCGUGACCCCCUGAGUGGGGGAAGGCAGGCUGUUGCCAUGGUGGCCUGAGCGAGCAGAAUUCCUCCAGGGACAAUGGCGUCUCUUGGCCACAUCUUGGUUUUCUGUGUGGGUCUCCUCACCAUGGCCAAGGCAGGACUCCCCUGGCACCUGACAUCUCCCACGCUCCACCUGCGCGCCCACCGCCCCCUCCGCCGCCCCUUCCCCAGCCCUGCCCCCGCAGACUCCCCCUGCCGCCAAGACUUCCAAUAAAACGUGCGUUCCUCUCG
rnacentral:lncRNA from 1 species